rnacentral:sRNA from 1 species
GAAAUAGUAGUGCUGCUGUAACUCAAGUUAGUGUGACUUUUAGAAAACUUAUAGGAUUAAAAAUUAAUUUCAUUUCCACAGUUUGGUUUUAUCCAAUUGUGAUAUUCUCUUAAGAAACAUGGAAUAUAUUAUAGAAUGUUUGUUCUUUGUUUUUCUGAAGAAUGAGAAAAAGUGUUAGAUUUUCACAUUUAUGGUAUGAUUUACAGAUUUGUGAAGUGUAAAUGCAAUGCUCUGCUCUGUUUUCUUUAUGCUCUAAUAUAAUUAAUUUGUUUCUAGAUGCUGGCAUCACCAUCUACAUCAGGUCAGCUGUCUCAGUUUGGGGCAAGUUUAUACGGGCAACAAAAUGGAAGUGAAAAUGUGACAGGAUUGGACCUUUCAGAUUUCCCAGCAUUAGCAGACCGAAACAGAAGGGAAGGAAGUGGUAACCCAACUCCAUUAAUAAACCCCUUGGCUGGAAGAGCUCCUUAUGGUAAUUAAGCUUUUUAAUGAUGGCCUGUAGAAAGUUUCCAUGGUAUGUGCAUGCACACAUGCAUUUACAUGUACAUAUACAUAUGCUUGUGUGUUUACACAUGUAUGUUUGCAUUUUCUAAUCAGGUUAGUGUAAUUUUUUCAGAAUUGAUAUAUUAGAAGUGAUUUUUCUUCCCAGAAUACCAUGGUAUCAAAGUUAAAUGAGAAAACUUUGUACAAAAACCCAAGAGGAAGUCCUCAUUGGUAUGCAGAAGUUAUUUUCUUCUGUUAU